AGGCGCAGCAGGAGCUGGCUGCUCACCUGGCAGCGCCUCUCCCAUCACCCGCAGGCCGCAGCGGACGAGAGGCCAAGCAGGGGAAGAUGGGGGUGGAGACUGAAGGCCACGACCACCACGCGGGCGCAGCAGAUGGCGAGGACAAGGGAGGCGGCGACCCCCACGCCCUCUCAUCCCUUACCCAUGUUGGGUGCCCAGGAGACAGAAACAUUGCUAUCCAUGUGUCCUGCUGCAUGUGUUGCCGCUUCUGAAGCGAUGGAGAGGAGCAACAGAUGGGAACUUGGGGUGCUUGAUAGGAGUGGAUUAAUUAGGUACGAGCCCAAGCGGAAGGCUUCAGGCACGCCUCACUUAGGUGGAAAGAG